ACGAACGCUGGCGGCGUGCCUAAUACAUGCACGUAGAACGCACAGUUUAUACCGUAGCUUGCUACACCAUAGACUGUGAGUUGCGAACGGGUGAGUAACGCGUAGGUAACCUGCCUGGUAGCGGGGGAUAACUAUUGGAAACGAUAGCUAAUACCGCAUAAUAUUGAUUAUUGCAUGAUAAUUAAUUGAAAGGUGCAAUUGCACCACUACCAGAUGGACCUGCGUUGUAUUAGCUAGUAGGUGAGGUAACGGCUCACCUAGGCGACGAUACAUAGCCGACCUGAGAGGGUGAUCGGCCACACUGGGACUGAGACACGGCCCAGACUCCUACGGGAGGCAGCAGUAGGGAAUCUUCGGCAAUGGACGAAAGUCUGACCGAGCAACGCCGCGUGAGUGAAGAAGGUUUUCGGAUCGUAAAGCUCUGUUGUAAGAGAAGAACGGGUGUGAGAGUGGAAAGUUCACACUGUGACGGUAUCUUACCAGAAAGGGACGGCUAACUACGUG
rnacentral:rRNA from 1 species